GACCAUGUAAUAAUACACGGAUAUAUAUUGUAUUAUAAUUUAUAUUUAUGUCAAAAACUUCGUAAAUACUACUUUUAAAAUAGUAGUCAUGGGUGGAACUAGUCUACCAAAACGGGAGUGGGAGUUAUCACUUUGGGGUCUGGUAAAAGGGGGAGUUGAAUGAGAUUAUACCUAAGCUAUCGAUCUGAUAUUAAGUUGAUACAAUAUAAUAAUAAUUAAUAUAUUUUUACCAAUAUUAUUUUUUUGUGUGGUAAAUUUAAAAACAAUUUUCAAUGCAAAGCGACACAUCACUUAUUGGACAGUAUUAUGACGUUUCUUUUUUACAACGAUCUAAAUAUCCCGUUUUAAAAUUAUUAAUGUUUUGCCAAAUAUCUGUGUAAUGCCUGUGUGUGUGCUUGUGUGUGUGCAAGCGCAGGAAAAAUAAUCAAUACUCUCUAGCCUCGGCCAUUUUGUAUUGUUGCGCUCUGCGCCUAUAACUAACCUUUAAUGACCAACAGCUGGGUUCUCGUUUCUUAUACUUUGUUUGUCAUUUUGCCGCUGCGGUGACAGUCGAACGCUAGUUGUAACUUUUAUUUCAAGGCUAUAAUUUAUAAAUCACCCGAAUCCUGUCGAAAAACAUAUUUUGUUAAACUGUAUAAGAAUAAAUGGCAGAUAUACCCAUUUGGUGUGUUAUUGAGUAUGAUGAUGUUGGUGUAUAAAUUUGACCAAAAAGUUGGACAGAGACUGGAUCACCAGGAACCAGCUAUUGGCCCCACCGAGGAGUUUUUAAUUCAGACCUACAAUACCUUAAUGCAGUAAAACAUAAUACAAGUUCUGGAAUAACUUGGCCAGUCUAUAAGGACGGGAUUCUAUGAUGACUUUGAAAAAGCAUGGAGACCAUCAGAUUUCAGAAAAAGAAAAAAAAAAAACCGAAAAAAGCGGAAGAAAAAAAA
rnacentral:lncRNA from 1 species